GGCUCAUCAUUCUAAAACUGGGUUCUUUAACCAGACUCCAAGAUUAAGCCUGAGGUAUCUGGGCAUCUCUGUGCAUCCCAGACGUUGGUGUUUUUCAUCACUGACAGAUCCCAAAAGUAUGGAGGGGAUUUCAGCAACUCUAUCAGAGCAGCGGUCCUCUGCUUUUGCACGGUUAUAUCUGCUGGUCAUGUCAAUGUUACACACCAGCUCGGGGGAAGCAGGUCACUGGAGCUUUGCUUUCCAUUCCUGUGAUGGUCAACAGAAAAUCUGGACACUUAGAAUAAAUUAAACCCCAGAAAAAUGUUUGCUAAAAUGCUAUUAAAAUGUUAAAUUACAGAAUGAAUGCAUCUUGUCUUAAAGAUUGAAGAAAAUACCCAAACAAUUUUAAAAGACUAUAAAAUGAAAAGUGAACCAAACAUAUACCACCUCUCCUUUCCCUAUCUUGCCACCACCCCUCUUCUCACAAUCACUC
ensembl:lncRNA